UUGUGAGAACUGUUGCAAAACUAAGGAAGUCAAAACAGGAAAAUUCUCGCCUGACAGGUUCAUCUCAAUGCUUCUCUUAGCACUGAAAUGUUAUGUUCGUUUCUAGGAUUUGAAAAAGGUUUGAAAACAUUUUAAACACUGAACGUAAUCUGCUUUUAAUGUACUGUGUUCAGUGAACAGGGAAGUUUUGUUGUAAACCAUCUUCACUCCAUGAUCUCUGAAUAAUUCGCAUCACGCUUUAUUGAGUUUUCCUCUGAUGUGAUUUGGGAAGCAUGCAGGAUACCGUGGGGUGUAAUGCAGCAUUCCUGCUCUUCUGGGACUCAACAACACUGGUUCAGACCUCAAGCCCUGACAUACCAGUGAAAGUUACAGCUACACCUGAACACAUCCACCCAGAGCGCUCACAAACAACUGUAACUGAUUUCAGAGCAUCAACUCUACAGAGAACAUCUACAACAACACCAACGCUGGUUCCCAGCCAUCUGCAAACUCAGGAAACAGUUUCAAGACAAGCAGUGACACCUGAUUCAAAGUCCACAUCCAUGAACAUGCCCUCAAUGUUUCCAACCACUCAGGAAAACCAAAAAACGAACACUCACACAUCCUUAAGUCCAAUUUCUCCCACAUCUCCGCUCAGGUCCCUAAGCAAUGACUCAAAACCCGUCACCACUUCAUUAGCUCAUGAAUACAGAGGCUCAGCUUUGGUGAUAUUAACUCAAAGUGGGCUAAACAGGUCUGAUUCAGAAGGUACUACAAUCAAAGACACCUGGUCAAACAACAUAUCUUCAAUACCAGCAGGUCUAACAAACCCACCAUUGUCAAGCAACACCAGCAGAGAUGGAAAUACAGAUAACUCUGCAAACUCAGUGAAAAGCACUACUUUUUUUGUCUUCAACACUCCCAAAGUGCCUGUGUUUAAAGCAAUCACCUUUAAUCACCCAUUGGUUAAUCAAGUCACAGUGAUGAAAACCGUUUCAAGACCAUGAAACGGUCAUAUAAAAUGACUUAAAAGCAAAGUGUGUGAGUCUGAGAGCUUAUAUCUGGCUCCUCGUGUGCAUGACUAAUGUGGAAGAGCCAGAGACAGAUCAGGAAUAUAAAGAAUGUAGAAGUUGAAAUGUUUUUGUGGUUACUGAACAUCAAGCAGAUCAUAUGACUAAGUGCCACACACCAACAAACAAAUAAACAAAGACUGAAACCAAAUGUGAUGGAAGAA
ensembl:lncRNA